GUUUGCUGUUCAGUUUUCGAUUUCGUUUGCGAUUAAGCCCCAAAACAUAAACCAGCAUUCGGUGCUGCCUGCUCUGCGAUAUUUGGCUGCAGCCUGUAGACCCGCUGUAAUGAGCAAACGACAUGUUCACUUGCCUCAAUUGCUAAAUUGCUGCCACACUGCCGUACUGCCGUACUGCCGCACUGCCGCACUGUUGCACUCUUGCACUGCCUCUUGCUGUCGUCUCGCUGUCUUGCCAUUUCGCCUGCACUUCGUAGUCGUUCUGGCGUGCACUCGAUUGCCAAUUGGAAGUGCAACUGGAAGUGGAACGUGGAAGGUGGGGGCUGCCACCUGCAGCGAUAUCUACUGCUCCGCCAUUGUCUCGCAGCUCCUGCUCCCAAUUAUCCGACAGUCAACAGGCAUUCCUUCCCCCGAAAGCUGAUGACAUUUCCGGACUAAAAAGAGAGCUCUUUCGAUCCUCAAAGAUGGCAUGGAUAUUCACAUACAAUCUAUCAAGUGAAACGCAACCGCUUGUCGUACGGUAUUGGAGCAUCUAUCGAUAUGAGAACCUCUCCUCUAUCGUGUCUUCAUCUGCAGCCAGAGCCACGGCCACAGCCACAGUUG
rnacentral:misc_RNA from 1 species